UGAGAGGAAGGUCCCCCACAUUGGAACUGAGACACGGUCCAAACUCCUACGGGAGGCAGCAGUGAGGAAUAUUGGUCAAUGGGCGAGAGCCUGAACCAGCCAAGUAGCGUGCAGGACGACGGCCCUAUGGGUUGUAAACUGCUUUUGCGCGGGGAUAAAGUGCGCCACGUGUGGCUCAUUGCAGGUACCGCGCGAAUAAGGACCGGCUAAUUCCGUGCCAGCAGCCGCGGUAAUACGGAAGGUCCAGGCGUUAUCCGGAUUCAUUGGGUUUAAAGGGAGCGCAGGCCGCCCCUUAAGCGUGUUGUGAAAUGCCGCGGCUCAACCGUGGCACUGCAGCGCGAACUGGGGGGCUUGAGUGCGCGCAGCGCAGGCGGAACUCGUGGUGUAGCGG
rnacentral:rRNA from 1 species